rnacentral:rRNA from 1 species
UACGUAGGUGGCAAGCGUUAUCCGGAUUUAUUGGGCGUAAAGGGUGCGCAGGCGGAUUGUUAAGUUCGAGGUGAAAGCGUUGGGCUCAACCCAAUAUAGCCUUAAAUACUGGCAAUCUAGAGUGCAGAAGAGGGUAAUGGAAUUCCAUGUGUAGCGGUAAAAUGCGUAGAUAUAUGGAGGAACACCAGCGGCGAAGGCGGUUACCUGGUCUGUAACUGACGCUCAGGCACGAAAGCGUGGGGAGCAAAUAGG